CAUGUUUGAUCGUCGCAAUCUCACUGCAAAUGGGAUUGGAUCACCCAUCCACAUAUUUGAGAAUCACAAGGCCGCUGUUCUUUGUGUACAUUGGUCUCCAGACAAAUCAUCCGUCUUUGGCAGUUUGGCAGAAGAUGGAGUCUUGAACAUCUGGGAUCAUAAUAAGAUUGGGGAACUUUCUGGUCC